UUAAUAAACAGCAUGAUGGUUUGGGCUGGAUUAUUUCCCCCCACUAUUAACACAAUGUUAUCCAUCAUUACUGAUUCAAUUAGCUACACAAAUAUCAAAACUUUUUUCCUGUAAAAUAUAAAAUGGACAAGAAAUCUACCCAAAUCAUUAAAUGUGAUAAACACGAAUACAUCACCCAAAGCCUAAUAGAUAACUGCUUGCUAUUUCUUUUCACAGUUCCACUAUAUAAACACUUCUGGAAUCUACACAAAAAACGUCGCACUGGGAUAUUAUUACAUGCCGGAUUAUAAACCAGACACUACUAUUACUACUAUCAGUGCUCUAGCAAUCCAUUUCUUUUUCUCCUCUCUCUCUCACACGCGCGCACACACACACACGCACACUCGCACAGUGAAGCCUCCAAUUAACUGCCGCUGCCGGUCCAAGUGUAUUUUGUUUCUUUUGGAACUCGGGAUUCGUACGGCCUUUGGGAUGAUCGAAAAAGAGUAACAAAACGAUUUAAUUUCGGAAUCGCGGAAGGCCCUGCCCGGCAGCAAAGCUGUCAGUGUCACAACUGCCGCGAUCCCCGUGACUCUGCCCGGAGAAACGAAACCUGCGUCUUCGCCCCAUUCAAAGCAUCAGGAUAUCCUCAAACCUUCUCUUCCCCUCUCUUUGCCGCUCAUCCCGCAGACGACGAGCAGAAAGAGGAGGCUGGGGAGCCCAGUCCCAGGGUGGAGAGGGCCGCGGGGCCCCGGGUUCUGGGCCUUCUGAGCCGCUGCCCCCUCGCUCACCCACCUGAUGCUCUUUCACCACUUCACUGAGGCAGGGAUACCGCUCCGAGAUCCAUCGGUAAAACUUGGGGACUCCCAUCUCGACCGUCAACACUAAUUCCAAUCAGGGCCAAACCGAAACCAAACGCCCCGCCGGGGCCUACGCCGCAGCCUCCGGCCGUCGCUUCGCCGAUGACAACACACCGCUCGCCCGACCAUAGAGAGCGCUCGCCGGGCCUAGAGCGGCCGAUUCGAGGCCGCAUCCCCGGGGCGGGGCUCUAAUCCUAGCCGCCGCUGAACGGCGGUGGUUACGUUCAAGAGCAAGGCGGCGUUUUGGUGCGUGAAACUUUGUUCUGGAAAUGCCGGUUGAUGGAACUGUGCUUUAUAAAUGGACGUGGAAGUGCUGUGAAAACCUCACGAGCCUGCUGGAAGAUUUUUGGAACACUGAUUUUUGUCCUGAUUGCUUGUGUCCUGGGAUUACUAAUCUCAGUAUUUUUCAACACUGAUUUGGGAAGAUCUGGUGAUUUGGUUGUUUGGCGACGGGUGAAGCGUUUCUCUGAGGAAUUGGUUUAGUUUUGUUUGGCGAGGGAGAGGUUUUUUCCUUUGAGGAAUAUAACUCUAUAGCAAAGUCUCUUUUAAAAACGC